UCUAAUAUACAUUAUGGUUUGCUGAUUUAUGGUUCUGCAUCUGUUACUCAGCUUAAUAAAUUAGACACUGCCAUUUAUCAUAUUGUUAAAACAUUGUCUAAUAUGGGUCAUUUUUCCCAACACUCUACAGACAUCAUUUACAAAUUAAUGAAGAUAAAACCGAUAAUAGAAAUGAUUGCUUUAGCUGAUUGUAAUAUCAUCACGAAAUAUAUCACUGGUCUCUUGCCUUCUGACAUGAUUUAUUUCAAUGUGCCUCAAGUUCUUACUAGAAAGUAUAAUCUAGUAGCUGUUGCCAAAUUCCGUACUAAUAAAUAUCGCAAUUCUUUUUAUAUCCGUGCAGCAAUUAAUUAUAAUAAGAAAAUGUAGGAAUAUAUGUAUUUUACACUGAUUCAUCUCGCGUAUUGCUGAAUAUUUAGUAUUGCUUGUUAUUUGUGUUGUUUAGUAUUAUUCUUUUUGGGGUUUUCUUUCUUUUUAUGUUUGUGGGGGCUCUACUGUACUUGUGUACACUUUGAGAAUGAGUGAAAUAAAUAAAUAAAUAAAUAAAUGCAAUUCCUCCUUUCGGAAUCUCUCUCUCUGUACAAAAUACUGUUGAGCCGCUUCGGAUUACUA
rnacentral:lncRNA from 1 species